GCCCAGCUGGCUCCAUCACUGGGGCAUGAGACUCUUGAUCUCUGGGUUGUGGGUUCGAGCCCCAUGUUGGAUA
rnacentral:tRNA from 1 species